GGAGCGGUGGCCGAGGGGUUGAAGGCGGCGGUCUUGAAAACCGCAAGGGUUCAAUGGCCCUCGUGGGUUCAAAUCCCACCCGCUCCG
rnacentral:tRNA from 1 species